ensembl:lncRNA
UGAGAACUGCCUUCUUUUUGUUUGGUUCCUUUAAAAAAAUAUUUUUUUACUUAUUUAUUUGCUGUUCUGGGUCUUCAUUGCUGUGCUCGGACUUUCUCUCUCAUGGCUAUUUCCAGACAUUUCCUGUUAAGAAGAGUACUAUAAAUAUUCUUGUACAUAAAUUCCCAUUGUCCCUAUAUACCAAUUUGGAUAUAAACCUGGGAGUGGAAAGCCUUGUCAUAGGAUACAGAACAAACUGGCUUAUUCUAAAGCAAAAGCCCCAAGCAGAGUGAAAAUAAAGUUUCCAGCUGUACACACUGGAGUGACUUACCCUUCUGCGUGGAGCACACUGGUUCCCAAAUGUUGAUUCUCUGAUCCAGCUGCCAAGUACUGGGGCAGGGGGUGCCGCUUUGGGGAAAUUUGAACCGUAGGUCCUCAGGACAAGUGGUCCUGACAGCUGCUGAAAACCUACCUGAAAAUUCUCUGAGUGGGGUCACAUUUUUGGGUCACCAAAAAUUGUACUGAGUCCAGGCUCUUACUGCUCACCAUACAACGUGCCAAUAAAUCGAGAGGCAGCUUGUUGGGGCAAGGAAUAGCAAUUUUAUUCGGAAAGCCAGCAGACCAAAAAGACGGUGACCUCACGUCCCAGACAAACAUCUUGCCUGAGUUAGAACUCAAGUUUUUUUAAUACAAAACAGGAACUUCCGGGUUCCCAGCAGCCUUUGGGGAGGAUGUGUUAAUUUCUUCCUGCUUGCAGUCAUUCACAGGUGGGCCUUGUCAGGAUGUUUUCUGUGAGCGAAACAGAGGUAUUUUAGCUUAAUGUUCAUUACCUGGGAGGUAGAGUUCCCAGAGAUGGGCCAUUUAUGUACAACUUAAGCUUAUAGGCAGCAUCACUUUAGUGAGUAACUUGUAAUAGAGUUGAAAGAUUUUUCCCUAUGACAAAACAAACCUCUAAGAAAUUGAAUGAACUCACCUGAUAUCUGGAAUUGUAAACAGAUAAAUCGUGUUUCUAAGAACAUAUGACAAAAAAUGAUUUGGACUAAGCAGCAAUUGAUACUAAGCCAUUCUUUCUUUUAAAAGUUAAUUAAUUAACUUUUGGCUGUGCUGGGUCUUCGUUGCUGCCCAGGCUUUUCUCUAGCUGCAGUGAGCAGGAGCUAUUCUUCAUUGUGAUAUGCAGGCAUUUUAUUAUGGUGGCUUCUCUUGUCGUGGGACACAGGAUCCAGGGUGUGUGGGCUUCAGUAGCUGUGGCACGGGGGCUCAGUAGUUGCACCGCCCAGGCUCUAGAGCACAGGCUCAAUAGUUGUGGUGCACGGGCCUAGUUGCUCCUUGGCAUGUGGGAUCCUCUCAGACCAGGGAUUGAACCUGUGUCUCCUGCAUUGGCAGGCAGAUUCUUUUACCACUGAGCUACCAGGGAAGCCCAAUGCUAAGCCAUUGUAUCAGAAGGUAGAGAAGUAGAAGCUUCAGUUGGUCCCUGACCAUCAUCUGAAAUCACCAGUGCACGAGGAGUGUUCUCUUUUCUGCUCUCAACAGCAGGUGGGAAUGCAGGGAUCCUUUGCCAGGAUCAAAAAGGGGCCACGAAUCACAUAUUUUUAACAAAGGGCAUAAAACAAAAUGUUGCUCUAUUUGGCAAUGCUCUUUGACUAAAGAAAGAAAAUUGUGUGUAUUUUCCAGAAACCAUACUUAACUGACUCCAACUCUGAAGGCGGUGUAACAUGCUGGUUCAUUAUAAGGAUCAGUUAUCAAGCUUCUAUUUUGAGUUCCAAAAGCUAAAUCCCAAAAUUGACUUCAAGCUACAGAAUGAAAGGUUGAGAAAAGUUCAACUUGGAGACAACAGACCAUCUUACUACUGUUCAUGAGAGAUUCCUGCACAAGUUGAUCAGGAAGGUAUCAAUUCUCCAUGGGCCUGGAAUCAGGGCAAGCAGCCUUGGAAAUUUCAGCUGACUCUCACCAGGAAGGACACAAGCACAGCAUUUGGAUUUUCUACAGAGGAGGAAUUUUAGCUGCAGAAGUUGCCAAUAAGCAAGACAUUUCCCAGGGAGAGUUUUACAUGCGCCUUGUAAACACCAGGACUUGUUGAUGGGAUUCUCUCGGCGAUAUGACAAGUGUGUCUGGAAGCCCUACCGUUUAGCAUGACACCAAGACACAACACAUGCCCGGUUCUGUCAAACCUCCGAGUCGUGCUUGUGGAAUCAACGGAAUCACCGGGAUGAUAAUCGACUCUGCUCUGUGAUUCCCCUGUUGGCACAUUUAUUUUAGCUUUGCUGGCAGAGAGGGAGGCUUGCUCUACUAAUUCACUGUGACGUUGUUUUUUAAUUAGGUGUCUUGACACAGCAGGCAUUCCAGUCUUGAACAUUUCUUUUGUUUCUUUAAUGUGCCAGCAAGCUGUCUGACUUUUAGCUGCCUGAUCUUUCAGAAAGGUUACCUGCAGUGUAAAAUGAGAUACCAGACGUAAGGCACCUUGUCCAGUGUUUGGCACCUGAGGGGUCUCUGAGAAUGUUCAUUAUGUCUCCCUGUUCAUCUUUGCCUUCCGUCCUUCUGCUGCUUUUAGUUAACCUUGGAGAUGAAACGUUAACUGGGUAAGGCUUACAAUUUUCUUCAUCCCAGAAGAGAGUCCAGUAAAUCUACAAACUGAGACUGCAUAGAUUCUGUAAAUAAAAUGGCCAC